UUAACAGCACGGGAAGCUGGCUCUUCUUCUUGCCCAGAGAACGGGUCCUGCCUAAAUUAGCGACAGCUUCCCAACAUACCCUGCCAACAUGCAUCAGCGGGGAGGGACCACCUCUCAGGGUGAGAGGGGGUAGUUUGGUCUCCAUGGCCCAUUUGGUGCUUUGAUCCU
rnacentral:sRNA from 1 species